rnacentral:rRNA from 1 species
GCGCCCCGCAAGUAACGCGUGGGAACGUACCCUUUACUACGGAACAACUCCGGGAAACUGGAGCUAAUACCGUAUGUGCCCUUUGGGGGAAAGAUUUAUCGGUAAAGGAUCGGCCCGCGUUGGAUUAGCUAGUUGGUGGGGUAAAGGCCUACCAAGGCGACGAUCCAUAGCUGGUCUGAGAGGAUGAUCAGCCACAUUGGGACUGAGACACGGCCCAAACUCCUACGGGAGGCAGCAGUGGGGAAUAUUGGACAAUGGGCGCAAGCCUGAUCCAGCCAUGCCGCGUGAAUGAUGAAGGCCUUAGGGUUGUAAAGUUCUUUCACCGGAGAAGAUAAUGACGGUAUCCGGAGAAGAAGCCCCGGCUAACUUCGUGCCAGCAGCCGCGGUAAUACGUAGGGUGCAAGCGUUAAUCGGAAUUACUGGGCGUAAAGCGUGCGCAGGCGGUUUUGUAAGACAGAGGUGAAAUCCCCGGGCUCAACCUGGGAACUGCCUUUGUGACUGCAAGGCUGGAGUGCGGCAGAGGGGGAUGGAAUUCCGCGUGUAGCAGUGAAAUGCGUAGAUAUGCGGAGGAACACCGAUGGCGAAGGCAAUCCCCUGGGCCUGCACUGACGCUCAUGCACGAAAGCGUGGGGAGCAAACAGGAUUAGAUACCCUGGUAGUCC